rnacentral:RNase_P_RNA from 1 species
UGGGUCGGCUGGACGGUCGCGUCACGGGUUCGCCCGUGCCGAGGAACGUCCGGGCUCCACAGGGCAGGACGGUGGGUAACGCCCACCCGGAGCAAUCCGCGAGACAGUGCCACAGAGAGCAGACCGCCCGCGCUUACUGCGCGGGUAAGGGUGAAAGGGUGGUGUAAGAGACCACCGGGGUCGUGGUGACACGGCCCGCGAGGUAAACCUCGUCCGGAGCAAGGCCAGACAGGGGAUGACGACGCGGCUCGCCGAGUCCCCGGGUAGGCCGCUGGAGCGGCACGGCAACGUGUCGCCGAGAGAGAUGACCGUCCACGGGGCUUCGGCCCCCGGACAGAACCCGGCGUACAGGCCGGCCCAUUCG